rnacentral:rRNA from 2 species
GCGACCCCAGGAUGGGCGAGGCCACCCGCCGAGUUUAAGCAUAUCAAUAAGCGGAGGAGAAGAACU